rnacentral:rRNA from 1 species
UACAGAGGUCUCAAGCGUUGUUCGGAUUCAUUGGGCGUAAAGGGUGCGUAGGCGGCGCGGUAAGUCGGGUGUGAAAUCUCGGAGCUUAACUCCGAAACUGCAUUCGAUACUGCCGUGCUUGAGGACUGGAGAGGAGAAUGGAAUUCCCGGUGUAGCGGUGAAAUGCGCAGAUAUCGGGAGGAACACCAAUGGCGAAGGCAGCUCGCUGGGACGUGACUGACGCUGAGACGCGAAAGCGUGGGGAGCAAACAGG